UGAGGACAGAAGCAACCAGCAGACGUUGAGAAAUAUAAACUCAUAAAACAGUAUUAAACAGUAUUAAACUAACAAAACGUUACACCAGCUGUUGUUAGCUGUGUGUUAGUUGAGUUAGGGGGUGAACCCAGCAGCAGUUGGUGAAUGAAAACCAAGUUAUCCCACUCGGCAGGCCAAACCCCCUUGUGAGUGUGUCCAGACGUCGUCGUUGCUAGAGCAUUGGAUGUGAUUCGGUCAGGUUUUUGGAUAAGGUUGAAGAUCCGGACAAGAUGGCGAGCCACCACCCAGGACCAAGACCUGCUUGAGAGCUACAGACGGACUGUCUGUGUAUGGUAUGAAUGUCAGUCACCCGACUGGUGCUGACUAGAACGAGUGAUUACGAGUGCACUC